CCUACGGGUGGCAGCAGUGGGGAAUAUUGGUCAAUGGACGAGAGUCUGAACCAGCCAAGUAGCGUGAAGGAUGACUGCCCUAUUGGUUGUACACUUCUUUUAUAUGGGAGUAAAAUGUUCCACGUGUGGGAUUUUGUAUGUACCAUAUGAAUAAGGAUCGGCUAACUCCGUGCAAUCAGCCGCGGUAAUACGGAGGCUCCGAACGUUAUCCGGAGUUAUUGGGUUUAAAGGGAGCGUAGGUGGAUUGUUAAGUCAGUUGUGAAAGUUUGCGGCUCAAACGUAAAAUUGCAGUUGAAACUGGAAGUCUUGAGUACAGUAGAGGUGGGCGGAAUUCGUGGUGUAGCGGUGAAAUGCUUAGAUAUCACGAAGAACUCCGAUUGCGAAGGCAGCUCACUGGACUGCAACUGACACUGAGGCUCGAAAGUGUGGGUAUCAAACAGGAUUAGAUACCCUUGUAGUC
rnacentral:rRNA from 1 species